UCCAGAACUUCGGUUCUGGAUGAAAGCGGCGAACGGGUGAGUAACGCGUGGGAACGUGCCCCUUAGUAUGGAAUAGCCCGGGGAAACCUGGAAUAAUACCAUAUACGCCCUUCGGGGGAAAGAUUUAUCGCUAAGGGAUCGGCCCGCGUCUGAUUAGGUAGUUGGUGAGGUAAAGGCUUACCAAGCCUACGAUCAGUAGCUGGUUUGAGAGGAUGAUCAGCCACACUGGGACUGAGACACGGCCCACACUCCUACGGGAGGCAGCAGUGGGGAAUCUUGGACAAUGGGGGCAACCCUGAUCCAGCCAUGCCGCGUGAGUGAAGAAGGCCUUCGGGUUGUAAAACUCUUUCAACGGUGAAGAUAAUGACUGUAGCCGUAGAAGAAGCCCCGGCUAACUCCGUGCCAGCAGCCGCGGUAAUACGGAGGGGGCUAGCGUUGUUCGGAAUUACUGGGCGUAAAGAGCAUGUAGGCGGACUGGUCAAUCAGUGGUGAAAUCCCGGAGCUCAACUCCGGAACUGCCUUUGAUACUGCCGGCCUAGAGUUUUGGAGAGGUGAGUGGAAUUCCGAGUGUAGAGGUGAAAUUCGUAGAUAUUCGGAGGAACACCAGCGGCGAAGGCGGCUCACUGGCCAAAAACUGACGCUG
rnacentral:rRNA from 1 species